AAGGGUGCGUUGUGGGAGGAUUAACCAUCCCCCACGACACGAGCGACAACCACCCACCAACAUCGCUUGUAGGUCCAAAAGGAAACCUUCAAUUUCGGAAAGUUUAUAAAAUGCAAGGCCCGGUAAAGUUUUUUGGGGGGCUUGGAAUUAAACCCCCUGCUCCCCCGCCUGUGCGGCCCCCGUCAAUUCCAUUUAAUUUUUACUCUUGCGACCGUACUCCCCCAGGCGGAGUACUUAUUGAGUUAGCUGCGCCAUAAGGGGCGAAAAGGCCCCAACGGUUAGCAGACAUUGUUUACGCAUGGCCUACCAGGUAUCAAUCCUGUUGCUCCCAGCUUUGCACCAUAGGUCAGGACAGCCAGAGGGUGCCUUCGCCACGGGAUUCUCCCGAUCUUACGCAUCUCACGCUACACAGGAAUCCUCUUCCUCUCCCGCACUCUAGUUAACCAGUUUCCAAUGCACCGACAAGUAAGAUCGGGGAUCUCACAUCAGAUGAAGAGCCGCCUCGCGCGCUUUACGCCCACAAAAUUUGAAAACGCCUGCACCCUCAGUAAUUCCGCGGGCGGCGGCCCAGAGUUAGCCGGUGGCUUUUUAUGAGGGAGGUCAAGAUGUCCUCUUUUAAUACAAGUCUCUUCCUUCUCACAACAAAGUUUACAACCCGAAGGCCUUCAUCACACACGCGARMAUAGGACUUSCAUACCMGGCAUGUGGUAUGGGGAGGAAAAGAUUUAUCGGGCAGGGAUGGGCUCGCGGGCUAUUAGCCUUGUUGGGGGGGGUAAUGGCCUGUCAAGGGGACGACGGGUAGCCGACCUGAGAGGGUGACCGUCGCACACUGGGACUGAGACACGGCACCAGACUCUAAUGGGAGACAGCAGUGGGGAAUAUUGCACAAUGGGCGAAAGCCGGAUGCAGACGACCCCGCGUGAGGGAUGACGGCCUUCGGGAGGUAAACGUCUCUCAGGUCUGACGAAGCUUUUGUGACGGUAUGAGCAGAAGAAACACCGGCUAAUUACUUCCCCGCACCCGCGGUAAUAAGUAGGGGGCGAGCGUUGUCCUGAAAUAUUGGGCGUAAAGAGCGGGUAGGCGGUUUGUUGCGUCUGAUGUGAAAUCCCGGGGCUUAACUCCGGGCUUGCAGUGGGUACGGGCAGGAUAGAGUAUGGGAGGGGGGACUGGAAUUCCUGGUGUAGCGGUGGAAUGCGCAGAUAUCAGGAGGGACACCGAUGGGGAAGGCAGGUCUCUGGGCCCUUACUGACACUGAGAAGGGAAAAAGUGGGGGGGGAACAGGAUUUGAUUCCCUGGUAGUCCCCCCCCUAAACCCAUUCGUUAGGUGUGGGUCCCAUUCCAAGGGGUUCGGCCGCAACUAACGCAUAAGAGCCCCCCC
rnacentral:rRNA from 1 species